AGUGGGCGAAAGCCUGAUCUAGCCAUGCCGCGUGAGUGAUGAAGGCCUUAGGGUCGUAAAGCUCUUUCGCCAGAGAUGAUAAUGACAGUAUCUGGUAAAGAAACCCCGGCUAACUCCGUGCCAGCAGCCGCGGUAAUACGGAGGGGGUUAGCGUUGUUCGGAAUUACUGGGCGUAAAGCGUACGUAGGCGGAUUAGAAAGUUAGGGGUGAAAUCCCAGGGCUCAACCCUGGAACUGCCUCUAAAACUACUAGUCUAGAGUUCGAGAGAGGUGAGUGGAACUCCGAGUGUAGAGGUGAAAUUCGUAGAUAUUCGGAAGAACACCAGUGGCGAAGGCGGCUCACUGGCGCGAUACUGACGCUGAGGUACGAAAGUGUGGGGAGCAAACAGGAUU
rnacentral:rRNA from 1 species